rnacentral:rRNA from 1 species
AACGAACGCUGGCGGCAGGCUUUACACAUGCAAGUCGAGCGCCACGCAAGGGGAGCGGCAGACGGGUGAGUAACGAGUGGGAAUCUAACCAUCUCUACGGAAUAACGCAUGGAAACGUGUGCUAAUACCGUAUACGUCCUUAGGGAGAAAGAUUUAUCGGAGAUGGAUGAGCCCGCGUUGGAUUAGCUAGUUGGUGGGGUAAAGGCCUACCAAGGCGACGAUCCAUAGAUGGUCCGAGAGGAUGAUCAGCCACACUGGGACUGAGACACGGCCCAGACUCCUACGGGAGGCAGCAGUGGGGAAUAUUGGACAAUGGGCGCAAGCCUGAUCCAGCCAUGCCGCGUGAGUGAUGAAGGCCAUAGGGUUGUAAAGCUCUUUCACCGGUGAAGAUAAUGACGGUAACCGAAGAAGAAGCCCCGGCUAACUUCGUGCCAGCCGCCGCGGUAAUAC